UCUCUGUUUUGUUUUCUUGGUUCUCCACAGGUUUUGGGGCUGGUCGCUGAUCUCCGAAAUCAUCCGGGUGCAUUUCUAAUUGCUAAUGGAGCCCCAGUAGUCAUCAGUUCUGAUGACCCACCUGUCUGGUUCGCAAACCCGCUGUCUCAUGACUUUUACAUGGCCUUCAUGGCUCUGGGCUCAGUUCACGACGACCUGAGGCUUCUGAAACAACUGGCCAUGAACUCGAUCACAUUUAGCAGCAUGUCAAGUGCUGAAAAGGUCGAUGCAUAUACGAAAUGGCAGAACAGAUGGGAUACAUUUAUACACGACAUCAUUGUAAAAUAUAAACUGAGUACCGACAACAGUGUCAUUGGUUGAUGAUAUUGAACAUGUCAACAAGUUGUUGCGUCAAGUUCCAAGCAAUAUAUCAAUAAGAAGAAGACUUGACAAGACAUUCAUGAGUUUUUGUAUCAGUGAGUGAUUAAACAGUUCGGAUAGUGUUUGUUCGGAUAGUGUUUGUUCGGAUAGUGUACAGUGUAGUGUGAACUCGGGAGAAUAAAGAAAUCUCACAAACCAAUCA
rnacentral:sRNA from 1 species